GGACGGGUGAGUAACACGUAGGCAACCUGCCUGUAAGACUGGGAUAACUCGUGGAAACGCGAGCUAAUACCGGAUAACACUUUUCAUCUCCUGAUGAGAAGUUGAAAGGCGGCUUUUGCUGUCACUUACAGAUGGGCCUGCGGCGCAUUAGCUAGUUGGUAAGGUAAUGGCUUACCAAGGCGACGAUGCGUAGCCGACCUGAGAGGGUGAUCGGCCACACUGGGACUGAGACACGGCCCAGACUCCUACGGGAGGCAGCAGUAGGGAAUCUUCCGCAAUGGACGAAAGUCUGACGGAGCAACGCCGCGUGAGUGAUGAAGGUUUUCGGAUCGUAAAACUCUGUUGUUAGGGAAGAACAAGUGCCAUAGUAACUGAUGGCACCUUGACGGUACCUAACCAGAAAGCCACGGCUAACUACGUGCCAGCAGCCGCGGUAAUACGUAGGUGGCAAGCGUUGUCCGGAAUUAUUGGGCGUAAAGCGCUCGCAGGCGGUUCUUUAAGUCUGAUGUGAAAUCUUACGGCUCAACCGUAAACGUGCAUUGGAAACUGGGGAACUUGAGUGCAGAAGAGGAGAGUGGAAUUCCACGUGUAGCGGUGA
rnacentral:rRNA from 1 species